CACACACACACACACACACACACACACACACUCACGAGGGAGGCAAAACAAUAUAAAAGCCACAGUUUGGGGAGAUUUGUAGGGGGGAAAAUCUGAUUAAGGCAUAACUAUUGUAUUCUUAAAUUGAAACUAUCUGUAAUUAUCUCUUUAAGAACUACACAUGAUUGAGUUCACAAUCAUAUCAUCACAGAUAUAGCGGGGGUUCCAUCCUUACUGACAGUUAACAGUUGUUGGGGAGACCUACCAUUUUCUUCAAUGACAUAACCACAGGACUUCCCUCCCAUGAUCAGGCAAAACCAUUAAUUAGAUUCAGUAGUCAGACACAAAAAGAAGAGAUAAAUGUAAGGGAAAUACUGGCUGCAAAGGGUUCCAGUGGGAAAGAAAGGAGAAAGCAGGAAAUGGAGUACCAAAAUUGCUAGUUUAUAUUUAAUUUAAAUUUUUUCAGUAGUAUCGUUUAAUGUAUUCUGCUUGUAGGAUACAUAGUUUCAGGUAUCUGGGUAAUACAGCAGGUUACAGAUCAGGUUGGAUUUUGACUGGCAAACAUGCAGAAAGCAAUGGGGUUAUUAUUAGACAAAAGGUGAUUUAUGAAGGCUUCCAGCUCUGCCGCCAGCUUAUUGCCCAUCGUGAAGAGCAACUCUCUUGCAAACUCAAGGAGAAAAGGACAGGCCGUUGAAACUCUGCUAAAAGAAAGCAGAACAAAUGAAAAGGAAAUACAACAAAGAAGGAGAGGCAUAAAGGAAGCAGAGAUGGGCGGCAGGAUGACUGGAUGAGAGUGAGGACAGGGAAGGUAAAGAGGAUGGUCAGGGAGGGUCCGUGAUAGUCAGAUGGGGUUCCGUGGCACAGAUGCUUGAAGACUCUGUGACUCUCGUCCUCUCUCAAGGAGUAUGGACACCUGCCUCACAGGAAGAAGUGGGACCAGGUUCUGGAGAGGAAAAGUAUAACAGCGCAAACCUUGGUGGAGGCCUGAAUCUUCUAGGAUUGCUUCUUUCUGCAUCAGCACCAUUUGUUGCGCAGAAACUGAACCUGAAACCUGUGAAAAGAUUCCUGGAAGCUUCAUAUACCAGAAGCUUGGGCUCUGGCAUGGAUGGCAUUGUUGAGGUCAUAGAAUCCUCAAGAAACAUGGCUUAAAAUAAUUCAUAGUAUUCUAGGCUUGGUUUAUUCCUCAUUCUGUUUGUAAAUGACUCAGCCAGUGUUCCUUCUCUAGUGAAAAAAUUAAGUUGGAGUCUAGAAAACCUUGGAUGAAGAGAAUGUGAUUAAGACAAGCAUGUGGACCUGAGUUCAAUUCCCAGGACCCACGUAAAUCCAGUCAUGGUGGUGAGCGUUUGUGUUCCAAGUCAUGGGGACUCAGAUACGGGAGGAACCCUGAAGCUUUUUGGUCGGCUCACUGGUGAACUCCUGGUUCAGGGUAAGAACCCAUGUCAAAUCAAUCGGAAAGCAAUAAAAUAAAACAUCAUAUAUUAAUCUGUAGCCUCAAAAAGUACAUGGACAUAAAAAUCGGGUUUCUCUGUGUACCAACGCUGGCUUUCCUGGAACUCACUUUAAAGAAACAGGCUAGAGUGGAAAUCACAGAUAUCUGCCUCUGAAUCCCCCCGACCCCCAGUCCAACCCUACUUGCUGAGAUUAUAAGCCACUACACCCCUGG
rnacentral:lncRNA from 1 species